rfam:Streptococcus pneumoniae R6, complete genome.
AUUUUAUUGAAUAAGAUAGGCUUUGAGGCCUUGAUAUUAAGCACUUUGGGACGUUCUCCCUUAGUGCUUUUUUGAUUUCU